GGGAUAGGACAGGUUGCUUUCCCUGAGAUGGGUGGAUGGGUGCGUAACGCGAAGGCCACCUACCUUCUUCCGGGGGAUAGCCCUCGAAAACAAGGAUUAACACCGCAUAAAAACACAACCUGGCAUCAGGAAAUGUUCAAAUAUUUAUAGGAUGAAUAUGGACAUGCUUGUCAUUAGCUAGUUGGUGAGGUAACGGCUUACCAAGGCGACGAUGACUAGGGGAUCUGAGAGGAUGACCCCCCACACUGGUACUGACACCCCCACCAUACUCCUACGGGAGGCAGCACUAAGGAAUAUUGGUCAAUGGAGGCAACUCUGAACCACCCAUGCCGCGGGCCUGAAUACAGCCCUAUGGGUCGUAAACUGCUUUUAUACGGGAAUAAACCUUGAUUCGUGGAUCAAGCUGAAUGUACCGUAAGAAUAAGGAUCGGCUAACUCCGUGCCAUCAGCCGCGGGAAUACGGAGGAUCCAAGCGUUAUCCGGAUUUAUUGGGUUUAAAGGGAGCGUAGGCGGCUUGUUAAUUCAGGGGUGAAAGACUGUGGCUCAACCAUCCCACUGCCUUUGAUACUGACGAGCUUGAAUAUAGUUGAGGUAGGCGGAAUGUGACAAGUAUCGGUGAAAUGCAUAGAUAUGUCACAGAACACCGAUUGCGAAGGCAGCUUACUAAGCUAUUAUUGACGCUGANGCUCGAAAGCGUGAGGAUCAAACAGGAUUAGAUACCCUGGUAGUCCACGCCCUAAACGAUGAUAACUCGAUGUUGGCGAUAUACAGUCAGCGUCUAAACGAAAGCGUUAUGUUAUCCACCUGGGGAGUACGCCCGCAAGGGUGACACUCAAAAGANUGACGGGGGCCCGCACAA
rnacentral:rRNA from 1 species